AACGUAGGUUCCGAGCGUUAUCCGGAUUUACUGGGCGUAAAGCGCGUUCAGGCGGUUUGGCAAGUCGGGCAUGAAAUCUCUCGGCUCAACCGGGAGAGGUUGUCCGAUACUGUUAGACUGGAGGGCAGUAGAGGGUGGUGGAAUUCCGGGUGUAGUGGUGAAAUGCGCAGAUAUCAGGAGGAACACCGAUGGCGAAGGCAGGUCUCUGGGCCAUAACUGACGCUGAGAAGCGAAAGCAUGGGGAGCGAACAGG
rnacentral:rRNA from 1 species